CAAGAUAUAGCUUAAAUAAAGCAUCUAGUUUACACCUAGAAGAUUCCACGGCCUGUGCAUAUCUUGA
rnacentral:tRNA from 1 species